UUCGAGGAGCUCGGGGGAACAAGACCUGGGGGUCCUGGACUUGUUCAACAGUGCAGGGAGAGGCGACAUGGAAUACGCCGGCGCAGCCGCACACGGCGGCGAGGACGGAGUCGUAGUGGAGGAGCUCCAUCUGGAAGAGGCGGAGGCGCUCCGACGCUCCAUCCAAGGCUUCUAGAUGCUUCGUCUCGCCCUCAUCGUCUGUUAGAAAAAGUUGUGUUGUGCUGUGUAAGUAUUGAGAUCAAAUGAAUGAAUAAUGAGAGUGUGGAUUGUAUUAACUGAGAUUUUGGACGGUGGCGUGAACGGUGUAGCCGCGGUCCAGAAGGAGGUGGACGAGCCAUGAACCGAUGGCGCCGCUGCCGCCGGUGACACACACCACCUUCUCCAUUUGGCAACUGUAUUCUAUCAACCUCCAGUUUUGUACUGUUCCAGUGUAAUCUGCUGAGGCAAAAAAUAAUUAUAAUUUGAAGUCAUAUCUGUACAAAAAAAUAUAUAUGAGUGGUGCAUAAUGAAUCUCAACACUCACAAAAAUCUCAUUAAAUUUUAUUAUUAUUAUAUUAUCAUCUUACAUGCACCAUAUCAGCAAAACCACAAAUUGCAUCACAUUUUGCAACAGAUGCAGGAAUUGAACCAGAAAUCAGAUGAUAGCAUAUACAAUGUUGUGAUGAAAAUUGGCAUGCUUAUUAUUAUUCAUUAAGCAAUAAUAUAUUAUAGAAGUAUUUUAAUCACUGGAUAUUGUUCUACUAGAUGUAAGAAACAGGUCAGUGACUUCUGUUGUUGAAAAAGUAGUAUAAUAGUUAUAAUAUAAUGUGAUUAAAAACCAUUUUUAUUGUUUUAAUAUACUGCUAAUACUACUAUAAUUAAUGUUAUAUUAAACGUUCAUAAUAUUAUUGUUACAACGUAAACCCACCCUUUAAUUGCAAUUUGUACUAUAUUAAAAUAUGAUGUCAACAUAUAUGUUAUUAUAUUAUUAAUGUUAUUAUCCUUUGGAUUUUUGUGUAUGUUUUUAUUUGGAUUUUCGUUUAUUCAAAAUUUUCAAGUAAAACAUUUAUUCAUUUGAGUGGAUUUUUUUAAAGGACUCAACUACGACCUGCUUCACGUGACAGAUGUUACACCUUAAGUACAUUACACCUUUAGCUCUCACAGUAUUCAAUUAACGCUUGAUUUAGCUUUCUGCAGUGUCUUUAUUCCUUAUCUUUCCUUUUGUCAUCAUUUUUAAUGUGCUUCUCUUACACUCUACUUCAUAAAGUUUAUAACCUACAACUUGCUUAAGCAACUUUCUUCUUACAUGGUUGUGCUCACACUUUACCUCAUUUGUCCUUCAUCGCAUCAGAAGUUCAGAUUGUUCACUUAUUUUUGUAAGACGUUAUUCAAAUUUUUGUUUCAAACUCUUGCAAUUUAAAUCGAUUGUUUUAUCCAAUGUUUUUUUUUUAUGGUUGUCUGUCCUUUUCAUAUCUUAUUUUCAACAAAAUGGCUUAUGAAGAACUUCUCCAUAUGUUGUUUGUUUUCACUUAUGGUUAUUGUUCUUUGUCUGCAUUCUAAUUUUUAAGUUUAAUUUUUAGUUAUCUUUAUAUUGGCAUUUCGGAUUAAAUGCAUCUUCAAUUAUUUUUGUAUGAUUUUUUUCCAUUGCUUACUUACUCUGUUUUCUAUUAAAAUUAAAACUUAUUACUUCUUUCAUGGUGGAUUUCAAGCUUUUGUGCUAAAGAAAUGACCUUUACAACUACAACAUCAGCUGUUUUCUAAAUACUUUUUGUUCUCGUUGUUUUUUUAAAAAAAUAUAAUACUAUUUAGGCAUGUAUUGUGCUCCGCUAGAUUUUAUUUAUGUGUUGUCUCAUAAAAGUCUUUCAUUUCACAGUAAAAUGUAUAGUGCAACUUAAAGAGAAAACCACUAUUUCGUUAUGUGUUCUUUUUCAUUAUAUUUUUCUCAAUUUUAUUCUAGUUGUUUUGUUUAACCUAUAUAUGCUUAUGUUGUUUUUAUGUUUUUCUUUUUUUUGUCAUAAGAUUUUGUAUUUAUGAACCUCUUAUUCAGAUUGUGUAACAUUUGAAUCUGGUUUGUUGCACACACUAACAUUGGCAGCUAAAACAAAGUUUUAUUGUUAGUUUAUAUUUACGAAUGUAUGUGUUCUUCUAUUUAUUUAUGUCCUUUCUUAUUUGACCUAUGUCUUUGACUAAUUGAUCAACACACCAAAUCUUCGCAACUACAAAAAUCUUUUAGUAUGCAAGAAUACAAUGUUGUUCCUUCUUCUUCACAAGUUUUAACAAAUUUGGUUUGCUUAUUUUGUUUUUAUGUAUUUUUGCUUUUUUUUUUAUAUGAUUAUGUAAUUAUGAACCUCUUAUGUUGUUGGAUGUCCAGAUUGUGUAACAUUUUAAUCUAAUUUGUUGCACACAAUUAGAUUGGCAGCUAAAGCAAAAUUUUAAUGUUAGUUUAUAUUUACGGAUUUCUGUGUUAUUCUAUUUAUUUAUGUCCUGUUUAUUUAACCUCUGGCUUUGAAGGAUUCAUCAACACACCAAAUAUUGGCAACUCCGUCAAGGAGAUACAUCCUAGAUUUUUUUUUUCUUCUUGUUUUCCAUGCUUGUAAUGCCCAACAUGAGUAUCUAAUUCUACCCUUUGAGAUUUGAGAUUUUCUCUUUAGUUGUUCCUCUACUCUAACACAAAGUUGAACUAAAUCAUUUAAAUCAUUAUAAGGAAAAAGUUCAACUUUAUCCUUAAUUUCAUAAUUAAGACCACUUUGGAAUCGAGCCCUAAUCCGUGCCCUUAACAUAAAUAACUCAAUUAUCUGCUUCUAUUGUUCUACAAUCAUGUUUAUAUGCGUUAACUUAUUGAGUUGUUUCAUCAACUCUCUAUCAUAUUAGGAAGGCUCAUACCUCUUCCUAAGAGCUGAUCUAAACUCAUUCCAAUACCUUAUUUAGGGAAAAUUAUGCAACCUAAGAUCUUUUGUAUAGGUGGUCCACCAAGUCAUGGUUGAAUCUUGAAAACUAAGGGUAGCUAAGGUAUCCCUCCUCUCAUGAUUUAUUUGGUGAGCCGAAAAAAAUUUCAACCUUCAUCUCCAAGGUUACGUAAUCUUCUAUAUUUGAUGAAAAAUGAAAAUAAGGAAGGUCAAUCUUAGGCUCUUUAGGCACAUGAUGGGCUCGAUGUCUAUGUUGUCUAGCAUUUUAUUGGUAGUAGUAUGUAUUGUGAUACCUACUAUAAUCAUAUUGGCUUUGGUAAGGGAUUGUAUGAUGAUUGCUUAUAUGUUUGUGAGAUCCCUCUCUUAGGAAAUCACAAAUUUAGAAAUUAUUUCUUUCAAUUCUGAAAAAUUCAUUUGCUUGUUUUGUUACUCUUUCAUAGACAUUAAAAGAAUCUUGAGUGUUUUGAUUACCAUGAACACUAGAUUGAUGUGAAGGAUCACCCAUUGUUGAAUUAAAAUAGAAAAAGUUUUCACAAAAAUUUACAAUUCAAUUGAGUGAUCAAAAUAUUUUUUGAAAAUAUUUUUUUAAUUUUUGGUGAAGUAAAUAGAUCAAGUAUGAGAGUUCUCCAAGUUCACUCCCACGAAAAGUGAGGUGAGUCACAAUGGACUACUUACAUACCAAGAGCUUAUCCCAAAUAAUUCUCAACAUAAGUUCCCUCAAAAUAAUUUUAGAAAUGAGAGUGGGUGUUUGAAUGUCGAAAUGAAACUAAAGAUCAAAGGAAGAUCUACUAAUAAGCAAAAAAAGAUAAAAAUCCUAUGUAUCACAGAUACUUAAAAGCAAGAAAAUAAAGGAAGGAAAUAAAGGAAGGAAAUAAAAGCAUGAAAUUAAAGCAAGAAAUUAAUGCUAGUGAAAAGUAAAUUAGCCGCAUCCUAAAGUUCAAGUGCAAUUGACACUAAGACUCCAGCAGCACACUUACACCACUAAUGCACAUGUAAUCUAAGAAUUUGAAGUAAAAUAAGUACAAAAGAAGAUGGACAACAAUAUAGAUAAAUAGUUAAGUGAAUCUCAAGAGAACAUUACAAAGAACUUACUUGAAAUGGACUUUAUUAAAAAUUUUAAUUUCAAGAAAUAUACUAAGUUAUGUUGGAGAUCCCACAUCGACUAGAGAUAAGGACAUUUCAUAAUAUAUAAAUGGGUGCAGACCUCAAUCUUAUGAGCCGGUUUUAUGGGGUUGAGUUAGCCUUAAAGUCCACUUCGCAAUAAGUUACUUUUAUACAUAUAGCUUAAUGAACAUAUCAAGGCAUAAGUAAGUAUAUUUGAUUAUUGUUAUAUAACAAAUUCAUUUGUAAUUCACAUUCCUAAAAGUAUUUACAAAAGAUUCGAAGUAAAGCAUGUCCUUAUCUCAAGAUGCACUACUUGUAAACAAAUAACCCAUCAUAUUCUACAUAUUCCUUUGACAAACUUGAUUACCCGAACUAGAAGUUGCUCAGUUGGAGAUCUCACAUCGACUAGGGAUUAGAGCCUUUUAUUGUAUAUAAAUGGAUGCAAACCUCAACCCUGUGAGCCGGUUUUAUGGGGUUGAGUUAGGCUUAAAGUCACAUCUCUAUCUUAGUGGAAAGUAUUGAAUAGAGUAUAAAUCAUAUACAUCUGUGUUAAAAUGAGUAUACAUCUAUAUUAAAAUGAGUGAUGUCAUUCAUACAUCUAAAGAAAUCAAUGUACAUUCUCAUUUCAUAAUAAAAAGAUAUGAAUGACAAUUACAACACAAAGACCCUACCUACCACGAGUUGGUCAUACUCUAAUCUACGCCCAUAAACUAUUUCCCGUGAGUUCUAGGCAUGGAGGCUUCUCAAUGUUUCAAGCUAUAAACAAAGACUGAGAAUUGUACACUCAAUCAUACAAUAAUAUAAAUAAAAACACAGGAAAAAUCAAUAUCCUCGCAUACAAUAACAUAAUCAAGAGGACAAAUUAUAAUAUACAUCAAAAAAUUAAUUUGGUGAAUUUAAAGACUCAACCAUACAUUCAAUCAAAUCAAAAUGUAUUUCACAAGUAUUAUUAUAGGAUAUGACAACCCAAACUAACAUCGUUUUCCUCCCUCAUCCAACGUCUACUUUCAUGACUUACUACUUAAAAGUACACCUUCAUUGAGAUUAUUUAAAAAAAAAACUUAAAUUGUUAUAUGAAGGUGCAUGGGGAAAAUAGAGAGUGGAGGAGAAUUUGCCAAACUAAUGCCCUUUUCUCUUUCCUUUUUUGUACGUAUGCAACACUUUAUAUUCUAAUUUUCAUGCACAUUUCAAUUCUUCACAAAUGACCUACAAACAAAUAGUGGUCCAUAUGCAUAAAACAAAAUGUAACUAGGGUUUCCAUUCGCAUGUAAACACCCCACGUUUUUCUUACUGUACCCAUAUAAAUUAUCCUUAUUAAUUUAUAAUAUUAUUAAUAAAUUGAAUUUUGAAAAAAUGAUUUUUCUCAUGAUUUAAAACUAAUUUGUUUAACAAUUUGAUACAUACAUUAUAUUAUAGUUAAUGAAAAUAAUAAUUAAUAACUAAAAUCUUAAUAACUAAUUAGAUACAAUUUAAAAAUUAUUUUAUAAUUUUUAUUAAUAAUAAAAACUAUUUAAAUACUAAUACUCAUUCAAUUAUAUCAAUUUCCUUCCAAAUCCUCCUCAUACAUAUAGUAAAGAAAUUGUUUUUCGUUUUCCAUGUUCUUUACACGUUUUCUAUUAAUUUCUUUGUGGACAAUAAGUUUAAGCAUUCCAUCUUCAUUUUGAAAAAAGAAACAAACAGGUGAGAGCUACUCAUACGCAAGUUCCUUUUUCAUACUAUUAGAGAAGUGUAGAUUAUGUCAUAGAAGAGCGUCUAAAGGUAACAGAGAUACAAAAAUGUGAAGACAACACAGAAACAUGACAGAAAUAGAGAUCCACCCAUGAACUAAAAUUAGGUAGAAAAUGUUUUACAAAGAUGUCUCUCGUCACUUGUUUUAGAACAAUGCAAACAUAACAACAACCACACCAACAAAUAUAACAGAUUAACAACAACAGGAAUUUGCACCAAACAUAUGUGCCAUAAGGACUCAUAUUGCAGCAGCAAUUAUGGAAGGAAUCCUUUUUUCUUCAAAUCCUCUACAGAAUCCUUAAUAAUCUCCUCAAUUGGAGUGAUUUGCAAACCCAAAUCCAUAAGUUUCUUUGAUCCAUCCUUCACUCUCAAUAAUCCUGGUUGGGUAUCUCGUUGCAUCCUUUCAAGCAAAAUCACAAAAUACAUCAUUCGCAACUAAGUUAUGCAUUAACAAUAGAUGUAUGAAGUGUGUGGGUAACUUACUUAGGCACAUUGUACUCUGGAUAAAGUUCACCAACUUUGGCCGCAAAAUCACCAAAGUGAGAGAUAGAUUCAACACACACAUGCCUACCAACUGCAGAUUUGUUCUCAUACACCAAAAUAUGUGCCAAUGUUACAUCCUUCAAGUGGACCGAUCCCAUAUAAAUGUCCUCGUAUGUUUCAUCAGAACCUGCGACGCGACAUACAAAUUUGUCUCAAAUUAUCAGUAAUUCCCCUAAAAAAAUCAUAACUUGGGGAGUUUGAUAUUAGUAUUCGAGUCAACAAUUAUACUGUGCAAAAUCUAAUGAAAAGAGUAUAGCACAAUCAAACAAGUCUAAUACUUUUCACGAAGGCAUCAAGUUCUAAAUAUCCUACACAGCUACACCAUCAACUACACUGUCGCAGGUCUUAGAAAACAUAUAAAAUAAUAAUAAAAUAAAAAUAUGAAUAAUAAAUUAAUAACAUAAUAAUAAUUAAAUAAUUAAAAUAAUAAUAAAUAAUAAACAAUAAUAAUGUUGGAGAUCUCACAUCGACUAAAGAUUAGAGUCUUUCAUUGUAUAUAAGUGGGUGCAAACCUUAAAUUUAUGAACUUGUGAGUCAUUUCAUUGUAUAUAAAUAAAUGAAAACCGAUUUUAUGGAGUUGACUUAGACUUAAAGUUUAUUUUGUAAUAAAUAAUAAAAAUAACUGAUAGUAAAAAUAUUAAAAUUAAAAUUAUAAACUAAUUAUAAUAUUAUAUUUUUUAUUUAAUUAAAUUAGUUUAUAAUAAUAUAAAUUAAUUAAUUAUUAUAUAUAUUAUUUUUAAAUUUUUUAAAAUUUAUUAUAUUUAUCAAAUUAGUAAUAAACUUAAUUCAAAAAACUUCAUUUUACUCAACUCCUCAAAUUCCCAGUAUCAAAUUUACUCUCCAUUUGAAAAAAACCCAACUUGAUACAAUGAGUUUAAAAAUAACUAUCUAAAAUAAAGAAUAAAUUUAUACUUAUAUAAUAUAAAAAAUAUAUAUUAAAAUAAUAAUAUUGAAAAUUGUAUAAAAAUACUGCAUUGUAUGAUUAUAUGAUUAACCCAAAAGAUAAAGCAUUCUCAAGCUUUUUGGGUAGUAGAAGAUUUCUUGAUACCAUAUUAUAAUAAUAUAAUAAUAUUUUAAAUUAAAAAUAAAUUAAAUAUAAUUAAAAUAUUAUUUUAAGGAUUUGUCAAGUGGAUUUUUUUAUUAUUGUAUGACCACCCAUUUUAGAACUUUUCCAGUUCACAUUUCCAAUAUUGAAGGAAACUCCUGCUGCAAAAAUAGAAAGAAAUAUUUGGAAAAUCCAACUGAUUAAGCAUUAGUGUCUCUACCUUGAAGAAGGCGCAAGAGCAUGAGCAUGCUUGCAUUAAGCCUGGGUGAAAUAAUCGGACCCAUCACAGUGCCAGGAUUCACUACAACAACAUCCAACCCACUCUCCUUUGCAAAUUCCCAAGCUGCUUUCUCCGCCAAAGUCUUCGACAAUGGAUACCACAACUGUUGCACACACAAACACUUCACACACCAACACAUAUAAGAAAAAGAAACAGAAAAUGAAAAAAAUGAAACCCUUUCUAACCCCUUUUUGCUUGCAAAAUUCAACGUCAGCCCAGCAGUCCUCCCUCUUUGGAACAUCACCGGGCCAACUGGGGCUCGGAAUAAUCGCCGAGACGGAGGACGUGACCACCACGCGACGCACUCCUGCUUCUUUCGCUGCCGUUAAUACGUUCACGGUACCCUUUAUCGCCGGGUCCAGAAGAUCCUUCUGCAUGAAGACUCAAAUGGGAUGAUGAAAAAACCCAAAAGAUUGAAAAUUUGUGAAGAGAUCGAGGAAACAAGACCUGGGGAUCCGAGACUUGAUCAACAAUGCAGGGAGAGGCGAGGUGGAAAACGCCGGCGCAGCCGCGCAUGGCAGCGAGUACGGAGUCAUAGUGGAGGAGCUCCAUCUGAAAGAGGCGGAGGCGCUCCGACGCUCCAUCCAAGUCUUGUAGAUGCUUUGUCUCGGCCUCAUCGUCUGUUAGAAAAGUUGUGUUGUGCUGUGUAAGUAUAUAUUGGGAUGAAACGAAUGAAUAAUAAAAGUUUGGAAUGUGCUAACUGAGAUUUUGGACGGUGGCGUGAACGGUGUAGCCGCGGUCCAGAAGGAGGUGCACGAGCCAUGAACCGAUGCCGCCGCUGCCGCCGGUGACACACACCACCUUCUCCAUUUUGCAGCUGUAUUCUAAGAUGCACUACUUGAAGAACUCCACUGUACUAAGAUAAUGAUGACACGUGUAAGAGAGGAAGAAACAAAGAAAACGAAAGACAGCCACAGAAAGAACAGAGAAAAAAUGAAAACGACGUUCAGAUAAAAGGCAAAAAAUGACCGAAGCAAACAGUUCCAAACAGCAAAAUAUUAGGUUUUAUUUUUUAGUGACUAAAUUAAUAUUGAAUUAUAAAUUUUUAAAGAAUACUUGUAUAAUGUAAUUGUCAUAUUUCUCUAUUAUGUAGAAUUGUAGUGAAAUGGAGGUUAAAUAAUGGUGCCCAACUUGCUAGCUGAAGGUUUUAAAAGGCAAGGAAAAAAUGAUAGCAAAUUAACCGUCAUGUACAAAAAAAGUGGUGGUCCCACAAUCACAAAAAUAGCAUAUAAAUUAAAUAAAAGAACUGACACGUAGAGUUUAGUGUAAUUUGAUGAUUUAUUUAUAAAUUAUUAUUUAUGGUUAUUUUACUGAUUUUUGUAAUAAGUAUUUGAUAUAGUUUAGGAGAGGAUAUGGUAUGCUUUAAUAAGAGGAUUUGAGCACACUUAAGCUUAAAUGAGUGUAUAUAAGCAACAAAAGAAAGAAAAAUAAAUCUAUACAAUUGUUGGAUCAUUCCAAGACUCAAUCAUAGAGGAACACAAACUCAUAGUAGAUAAUUUUUUCUUUUCAUUAAUUUAAUUUCCAACUCAUUGAGAUAAUUAUAAAAGCGUUUCUAUCCAUAACAUUAUGACAAAAUGUAGAGUACACCUUAUUUUCUUAAUAUAUAUAAUUUGACUUUUAUUAACCAAGUGGGCUUCUUCAAUGCCUAAAUCAUUUUAAUAUUUGGCUCCAUUAUUGUGUACCUGUUUCUCAUUUUCUGGUUCUUAUCUCAGACCAACUAAAGCCCACCACGUAUCGUUUCCCAAUUUUUACUUUAUGCAUAUGGACCCGCUUUUUGUUUGUUGCUAUUUUACUUUAUUCCUUUUCAUUUUAUUUUUAAUUCAAAAUAUUAUUAUAUUAUUAUAAGUGUUUGUUAAGUGUAUCUUAUUUACUGUUUUUUAUUGUUUAUGGUUUUAAAGAAACUUUUCUCUUUUGUCAUACAUUCACAUGGGGAGUGCUCAUUUGUUUGCAUGAAAAUUGAAAUACUAAGAGUUGCAGAUGUACAAGAAAGAAAGAGUAGCUCUAAACAAAGAAUAACUUUAUUUUUUAAAAUAAUUUCAGUAACAUUCUUAUAACUUUCUUUUAUUUACAGUACUUUCAUUCUUAUGUCGUAAAAUUAGAAAAAGUAGUUUUUUAUCAAUCAAUAUCGAACGGGUGAGUCAUUUAGUUUCGGAAAUCGAUCAACUGCGUUAAAAUACAUUUAAUACACUCAAUAAAUGACUAUUGUUACAAUUAUGAAAACUUCCGACAAAUCAAAGUCAUAUUCCAUCGAAUUUGGGUGACACCCCCAAGAAAAUAGCUAAUAUUGAUUUAUUGAAGAUAUUCUCCAAAUAUACAUCUCUAUAAUUCAAGGAAUCCCCUAAAAAGCCACUUAACACUGAUAUUUGAUAAAUGCGGUUCAUCACACAAAAUGACUCAUGACUAAACAUUAUAAAUAAAUAUUUUACAAAAGAGGAAUGUAUGUUUUUUAUCAGUUUCACUAUACACUCUUAACACAAGGUACUCACUUGAUCGUCGAAAAAUCUUUUGCAAGUUAACUCCUAAUCGACUAUUGAGAAAUUGAGGAUAGGGAGUCUUGAAGUUUGAAGGAGUGAAGUACUAAGGAGCAAGGGAGGGACCGACAACCAAAACAAUUGUUACAGUCAAUCCCAUGUACUAUUUAUGCUCACUUUGUCAAUACAAGUACAAGUUCCAUCAUUUCAACGUGUGUAAGAGGCUUGACGAGAAGAUUUGUUGUAUUCGACAUUCCCCAAUGCGAAGAUAAUUUUUUUUUUUUAGUUUUAUACUUCAUUUUUGCACAUCAUUUUUUUAUGAAUUUUGUGGCUUCCAAAAAAAGAAAAAAAAUAAAUGAAUAAAAACACAGUCACCAUGAGCAAUCACCAUCACUUGAAAAUGAAGAAGACACAACACUCUCCAUCAAAUAUUGUUGGAAUUAAAAAAGAGUAUGGAAGUGGAGAAUGAAGGUACGGAGAUGCAAGGAGAAUUUGCCAUCAAUUUUGUGCAUAUGGGAUUACUUUUUGCAUCACAUUUUGGUAUCACCCUUCCUUCAUAGGUGUUUCUUUCUGCACCUCUACAUUUUUCUUCUUGCACCUCUACAUUUUUCUUCUUGCACCCCUACAUUCAUGUGUAAUUACAAAGUAUCUCUAAGACAUCUAAAAAAACCCAAAAGGAGCAUAUCUCACUCUUUCUUUCUUCCUUUUCUACAAUUGUUGUGCACCUUGUUCAAGGAGCGAACAAAGGACAAUAAGUGGUAAUGCAUUGGGAUGUUGUUGGUGGUUCAUUUUCUGAAAUCUUGAUGGUGGUUAGAUGAUUUCUAAGAUGACUCUGUAUUAAGAAAAGAAGAUAAGUAAUAUUAUUUUUUGUUUACACUGUAUUGAGAAAAGAAGAUAAGUAAUAUUAUUUUUUGGUUACAUAUUGGAUGUUUAAUUUUUUAACUAAUUUUGAAUUCCGUAAUGCAACUUUUAGGAUUUCAGAGACAAGUGAGUCCGUAAUAGAGCACAUUGAUCCAAGAAUUAACUAGAUUGGUGUAUUUGUGUGGUUAUUUACACUUUAUAAACAUGGUUGUAAUUCCUAGCUGUAAUGGCAAAUAGAAAACUCUUGUAGCAGCCAAAUGGAUCCAGACUUUUUUUGUAAAAAACGUGGUGCCCCACUUGCAGCAAACAGAAAAUAACGAGUAAAUAAAAAAAUAGGGUUUGCAGGAAAUAUAGAAAACAAUGAGGAAAGAAAAGAAUGGCAUGUGAAGGCACUGUAAGGAAGGGUGAUGCCACAUCGUGAUCAGAAUGAGUGGUUGUGAUGGAUGAAUGAAUAAUUAAGAUUCCUUCACAUUCUAAACAGUAUCUCACUUUCAUUCUCUAACCAUUUAUAGUAAUAUCCCCACGUAUUCUUUCUUCUUUUAUAACAAAAACAAAAACAACCACCCCUUUUCUCUUUUCUUUUUUAAUUUACUACUUUUAAUAUUAUUAUUUUAAUAUUUUUUUAUAUCAUUUAAUUAUAAAUCAUUCUUUUAUUCUGCUCUCCAUGUGAAUGUUUGAAGAGUAAAUCAUCUAGGUGUCAAAAAGAACAUUGACAUAUUGGUUUAUAAUUAAAAAUUCUUGAUUCUACAUAUUUUUAACUUUGAGUAGGAAGUUGAUGUUAUAUUAUUAUGUUUAUAUUUAUUAGUUCAAAUUUAAUUGAAUUGAAUAACUGAUUUUUUUCUUUAAUUUAUAAUAGAAUUAAACAAUUAUUAAAAUAAUUCAUAUUUAUUAAAACUAACCACACCAACAAAAGUUUAACGAUACAUAUGAUAGUGCCUCAUUUUAGAACUAAGAGGAAUUUGCAGCAAACAUGUGGCUUUUAGGACUCGUAUUGCAGCAGCAAUUAUGCAAGGAAUCCUUUUUUCUUCAAAUCUUCUACAGCAUCCUUAAUAAUCUCUUCAAUUGGAGUGAAUUGCAAACCCAAAUCCAUAAGUUUCGUUGAUGCAUCCUUCACUCUCAGUAAUCCUGGUUGGGUAUCUCGUUGCAUCCUUUCAAGCAAAAUCACAAACUACAUCAUUUACAAGUACGUUAUGCAUUAACAAUACAUGUAUGAAGUGUGUGGGUAACUUACUUAGGCACAUUGUACUCUGGAUAAAGUUCACCAACUUGGGCUGCAAAAUCACCAAAGUGAGAGAUAGCUUCAGCACACAGAUGCCUACCAACUGCAGAUUUGUUCUCAUACACCAAGAUAUGUGCCAAUGCUACAUCCUUAAAGUGGACCGAUCCCAUAAAAAUGUUCUCAUAUGUUUCAUCAGAACCUGCCACGCCACAUACAAAAGGUCACAAAUUCUCAGUAAUUCCCCUAAAACAUCAUAAAUUGGGUAGUUUCAUGUUAAUAUUCCGGUCAACGAUUAUAGAUUAUAUGGUAAAAAAUUUAAUAAAAAAAAAGUGUAGUGAUUUUCACGAAUUAUAAAUGUCCUACGCAUCUAUACCAUCGACCAAGUUGUAGCAGGUCUUGUGAAAUUAGUCUAAUAGUUAGGUAACAACAACAGUAGCCCUAUUCACAUUAUACCAUUUUAAUCAGUUAAAAAUGUAUGCAUCAUUCAUCACAAGAUCCCUAACAUGGUGUUAAAUAGUGGUAUGCGACUAUGACUUUAGUGGUUCCGUCCACAGAUUUGGACGGAUGAAUACAAACAGAAAGCAUGAAAAUCAAAAGUAAAAAAUUGUUAGAUUCUUUCCUCGCAUAGCUGUGAGGAGUAGCAAAGAAAGUUGAAUAAACAUUAUAAUCAUAUAUUUACAAUAAAAUAUAUAUUCUAUAACGGAUCAUUACAUAGUCUGAUGACAUAUAUUUAUCAAAUAAUCCAUUUUUUUAAUAAUAUAAUUGAUUAUGGAAUAUACAUGUUAUUAUAUUUUUAUAUAAUUAUUAUAUUAUAUAUAUACACUAAAAAAAAUAUAAAUAUAGUAAAAAAAAUAAUUAGUUGUUAUAAUAACUAAAUUAGAAAUUAUUUUAAAAACUAAAAAAAAUAAUUUUUAAAUUAGUUUAUAUUAUUAUUAAAUAGUUUUGUAAUUUGUAUUUAAUUAGCUACCAAGGUUUUAACUCCCAAUUAUUUAAUUUCUAAAUUUGGUCGUAAAAAUUUUGGUUGCUAAUUAAAUACUAAUUUAAAAAUUAUUUAAUGAUAAUACAAACUAAUUUAGAAACUAAAGUUUUUUUUUCUCUAAAAUGAUUUAUAAUUUAGUUACUAUAUCAACUAAAUAUUUUUUAUUCUCUAAACAUAGUUUUCUAUUUGAUGUUUUUUUUUAGUGAUAUUAUUAAUUGAUUAAUAUUUGUAUUUUUAUUCUAAACAUAAUUAAUUAUACAAUAUAAUACAAUGUAAUAAUAAUAAGUAGUCAAACAAUAAAGAAAUAUAAAAUAAUAAUAAUAAAAUAGUCUCUACCUUGAAGAAGGUGCAAAAGCAUGAGCAUGCUUGCAUUAAGCCUCGGUGCAAUAACCGGACCCAACACCAUCCCAGGAUUCACUACAACAACAUCCCACUCACUCUCCUUUGCCAAAUCCCACGCUGCUUUCUCGGCCAAUGUCUUCGACAAUGGAUACCACAACUGUUGCACACACAAACACUUCACACCCCAACACAUAACAAAAACAAACACAAAAUUCAAAAAAUGAAAACCCUUUCUAACCGCUUUUUCCUUGCAAAAUUCAACGUCAGUCCAGCACUCCUCCUUCUUUGGAACAUCACCGGGCCAAUUGGGGCUCGGAACAAUCGCGGUGAUGGAGGACGUCACCACCACGCGACGCACUCCAGCUUCUUUCGCUGCCGUUAGCACGUUCACGGUGCCCUUUACCGCCGGGUCCAGAAGAUCCUUCUGCAUGAAGACCCAAAUGGGAUGAUGCAAAAACCCUAAAGAUUGAAAAUUUGCAAGAAGAUCGAGAGAACAAAACCUGGGGGUCCUGGACUUCAUCAACAAUGCAGGGAGAGGCGAUGUGGAAUACGCCGGCGCAGCCGCGCAUGGCUUCGAGUACGGAGUCGUAGUGGAGGAGCUCCAUCUGGAAGAGGCGGAGGCGCUCCGACGCUCCAUCCAAGGCUUUUAGAUGCUUUGUCUCGGCCUCAUCGUCUGUUAGAAAAGUUGUGUUGUGCUGUGUAAGUAUAUAUUGGGAUGAAACGAAUGAAUAAUGAGAGUGUGGAAUGUACUAACUGAGAUUUCGGACGGUGGCGUGAACGGUGUAGCCGCGGUCCAGAAGGAGGUGGACGAGCCAGGAAGCGAUGGCGCCGCUGCCGCCGGUGACACACACCACCUUCUCCAUUUUGCAACUUAAUUCUAACACGAAAACGAUCACUAGAGACUUGAGAAGUCCACUUUGAAAUCAAGAGAAGAAGAAAGAAACAAGUGUAAUGAUGUGACGAACAUACACAUUUUUAUAGAAUAAUAUCACUUCAAUACUAUUAUUUUAAACAUCUAUACAUCCGUAUUUUAUUAUUUUAUUCAAUUUUUAUGUUAAAUUUCAUAAAAAAUUAACAUUAAAUAUAUAAAAAAUAUUACUUAAAAAAUAUUUAUUUUCUUUUUCAAUUUGAGUUUUUUUUUUUUUGAAGUUUUUACUCUUCUUCCAUUGAUAGUUUUGGAAUGAGAGAGUAUAAUGAUGAUAAUGAUUUUAUAAAAAAAUAUAAUUGUUUCUAAUGAGGAAUUGAAAAUAAAUGUUAUUUUAUUUGUUAAAUUUUAUGUAAAAACUUGAUCGUAUGUUUUAUUUUUUUCUUUUGUCUUAAAAUUAAGAAAAGAGUAGGAGAUGUGCAUAUGCAAUAAUAUUAAAAUAAAAAAUAGUUUUAAUUUUUAAUUAAUUUAUAUAAAAUAAUAAAAUAUUUAAUUAUAUUAAUAAAAUGAGAUAUAUUAAAUAAAGAUAAAAUAAAUUAUACACUAAAAAUCGAUUAUAAUAAAAAAAUUAUAUAUAGAUAUAAAUAUUUUUUUAUAUUAUUUAAUUUCAAAGUUAGUCUUUAUUAUAUAUAUUUAAUUGUCAAACUGUAUUAAAAAAAAAAGACAGGGACAGUAGAAUUAAUUUGACAGAAAACGAAAGACAUGGAAAAUUUGACAACAAAAAUAUCGAAAUCAGCAAUGCAGAAUUAAUUAUAGGAAAGUUGGUGAGUACGAAAACCAAUCCAAUUUUUUAAAGGAUCCGGAUUUUUGACAACGUACGCAUCGUAUAACUCUGAAAAAAUCUUAAUAUUUUAAUAGUGUGUGAUCUUCUGUCAUAUUGGAAUCUUUUUCUUAUCUUUUUUGUAGUUUUCAUAUUUUGAGGUUUCUUUCUUUUUUUUAAGCUUCACUAUGUAUUUGCAAAUUUUUCUUUGUGCACUGAAACAUUUAUUUUUUCUUCUGUAUUGUUUUUAUUUGAUCUCGGUUUUAUUUAUUGUUAUCGUUAUUCAUAAUAAUAUUAUUUUUAUUAAUACUAUUAUUAAAAUUAAUAAUAAUACUAAUACUAAUAUUAAUAAUAAUUUAAAUAAUAAAAAUAAUUUUAAUAUUACUACUAAUUAUAAUAAUAUUAUUAUUAUUAGUAAUAAUAUUAGUAUUAGUAGUAAUUAUAAUAAUAAUAAUUAUUAUUAUUAUAAUAAUAUUUUUUAACUAGUGUUAUUUAUUUAUCUUUAUAUUCUUACAAUUCCGAUUUAAUUUAGUCAAAUAUAUUCUUAAAGAAAAAAAAUAUUUAUUGUCAAACAUAAUUUUGAAUUGGAUUUUUUGACAUCAUUGUUAUAAUUUUAUUCAAAAUGAUUUUUUUUAUGUUUAAAUUUCAUAUUGUGAUUAAAUUUAGUAUGAAAGAUUUUAUUUAUUGAAGUACUGAGCAAUUGGACUCGAGUAUGAUUGAGGUUAAUCCGUUGGUCAUUUAAAAAAAUGGUUUAGGAAGUGGUGACCUAGUCUAACGGUUAGAGAGGAUGAUGAAUAAGGUGAAUUGAGUUUGUUUAUAACACAUUAAAUUUAUUAUUCACAUGAAAUUUAUUUUUCACAUGAAAAAUGAAAUCUAUUACUUUAAACAUGAUUGUUAAUAUGGAUAACAAAGACCUACUAACUAAUAAAAUUGUCUUAAAUCAUAAAUUAAAAUUAUUCUACACAACUACAAGUUGGAUUGAUUCGUUAUAAUAAUUGUACACGGAUAACAGUAACAUUAGAGAAAUUCAGCUUGUACGAGACUGUUUUCUCAAUGCCUUGUUUGAGAUUUUAUAUUUUGUUUGACUGUGUGGCUUUGUCGGUAUGGUAGACGUUCCUUGGUAGAAAGAGGAUAAAGUACAAAUUUGUAUAAGGGUUAGACCACUAUGUAGUGGUUCAUAUUUAUUAUUUUUUAUUGAUAAUAAAAAAACAAUUUUAUUAUCAUUUUAUUUUAUUUAUUUUGAUGGAUGUAUUACAAUAGUAUAAUAAAUUAUUAUAGAAUCAUAAUUUUGUAUUAGUUUUUUUUUACGUUCAAGUUAUAUUUAGUAUGUAUUUUUUUAAAAUAAAAUCAUAUUUAUAGAUUUUUGAACUUAUUGAAAUAUCGAAUAAAAUUAUUUGAAAAAUCUAUUAUUGAAUAUUAUAGAUCAUUCCAAGACUCAAUCAUAGAGGAACACAAACUCAUAGUACCAAAGGAUAACUUUUUUUUCAUUAAUUUAAUUUCCAACUCAUUGAGAUAAUUAUAAAAGCAUUUCUAUCCAUAACAUUAUGACAAAAUGUAAAGUACACUUUAUUUUCUUAAUAUAUAUAAUUUGACUUUGAUUAACCAAGUGGGCUUGCUGAUAAAAAAAAAACCAAGUGGGCUUCUUCAAUACCUGCAUCAUUUUAAUAUUUGGUAACAUUGUUUAUGGUUUCCCAAUUUUUACUUUAUGCAUAUGGACCCACUUUUUGUUUGUUGCUAUUUUACUUUAUUCAUUUUCAUUUUAUUUUUAAUUCAAAAUAUUAUUAUAUUAUUAUAAGUGUAUCUUAUUUACUGUUGUUUAUUGUUUAUGGUUUUAAAGUAACUUUUCUCUUUUGUCAUACAUUCACAUGGGGAGCGCUUAUUUGUUUGCAUGAAAAUUGGAAAUAAGGAGUUGAAGACGUACAAGAAAGAAAGAGUAACUCUAAAUAAAAGAAUAACUUCACUUUUUAAAAUAAUUAGUACGUUGAACCGUGGAACGCACGGGAAUUUUUUCAAUAUUUUAUAUGUAAAUAUUAAUAUUAAAAUUAAUAAUUUAAUUUAUUUAUAUAUAAUUUCAGUUAUACUUCCGUAUUUUUAUAUCUUUCUUAUAUAUUUUUAGUUGUAAUAUUUGAAAAAGUAGUUUUUGGAUCGAUCAAUACCAAAUGAGUGAGUUAUUUCACUUUGAAAAUUUAUCAACCACAUUAAAAUACAUUUAAGACACUCAAUAAAUGAGUUGCAACAAUUAUGAAAACUACCUACAAAUCAAAGUCAUAUCCCAUCUCGGUGAUACUCCGGGAAAAUAAUUAAUAUUAAUUUAUUGAAUAUAUUAUCUAAAUAUACAUAUCUAUAAAUCAGGGAAUCUCCUUAAAAAAUCACUUAACACUGAUAUUUGAUAAAUUCGACCCAUAACAAGAAAUGACUCAUGAGUAAACCCUUUACAAAGAAGGAAGAUACGCUUUUGAUCAAUUUCACUAUACACUCUUAACACAAGGUACUUACUUGAUCGUUGAAAAACCUUUUGCAAGUUAACUCCUAAUCGACUAUUGAGAAAUUGAGGAGAAGGAGUCUUGAAGUUUAAAUGAGUGAAGUACUGAGGAGCAAGGGAGGGACCGACAACCAAAACAAUUGUUACAGUCAAUCUCAUGUUAUAUCUAGUCUCACUUUGUCUAUACAAGUACAAGUACCAUAAUUUCAUCGUGUGUAAGAGGCUUGACGAGAAGAUUUGUUGUAUUUGACAUUCUCUAGUGGAAAGACAAUUUUUUUAGUUUUGUACUUCAUUUUUACACAUUGUUUUUUUGUGGUUUCCAAAAAAAAAAAAAACAAAACAAAAACAGAGUCACCACCGAACAAUCAUCAUCACUUGAAAAUGAAGAAGAUACAACACUCUCCAUCAAGUAUUGUUGGAAUUAAAAAAGAGUAUGUAAGUGGAGGAUGAAGAUAUGGAGGUGCAAAGAGAAUUCGCCAUCAAUUUUGUGCAUAUGGGACUACUUUUUUCAUCACAUUUUGGUAUCACCCUUCCUUCAUGGGUGUUUCUUUCUGCACCUUUAUAUUUUUCUUCCUGCACCCCAACAUUCAUGUGCAAUUACAAAAGUAUCUCUAAGACAUCUAAAAAACCCAAAAGGAGCAUAUCUCACUCUUUCUUUCUUCCUUUUCUACAAUUGUUGUAAAAAACGUGGUGGCCCACUUGCAGCAAACAGCAAAUAAUGGGCAAAGAAAACACGAUGACCCCACUUGCAGCAAACAGAAAAUAAUGAGUAAAUAAAAAAAUAGGGUUUGCAGGAAAUAUAGAAAAGAAUGAGGAAAGAAAAGAAUGGCAUGUGAAGGCAUUGUAAGGAAGGGUGAUGCCACAACGUUAUGAGAAUGAGUGGUUGUGAUGGAUGAAUGAAUAAUUAAGAUUCUUUCACAUUCUAAACAGUAUCUCACUUUCAUUCUCUAACCAUUUAUAGUAACAUCCCCACUUAUUCUUUCUUCUUUUAUAACAAAAAACAUAAACAACCACCCCUUUUUUCUUUCCUUUCUUUUAUUUACUACUUUUUUUAUAUCAUUUAAUUAUAAAUCUUUCUUUUGUUCUGAUCCCCAUGUGAAUGUCUGAAGAGGAAAUCAUUUAGGUGUCAAUAAGAACAUUGACAUAUUGGUUUAUAAUUAAAAAUUCUUGAUUUUGCAGACUUUAACUUUGAGUAGAAAGUUGAUAUUAUAUUAUUAUGUUUAUCUAUUUAUUAACUCAAAUUUAUUGAAUUGAAGAACUGAUUUUCUGCUUUGAUUUGUAAUAGAAUUAAACAAUUUUUAAAAUAAUUCAUAUUUAUUUAUUCCUUCAUACUAAUAAUAAAACUAACCACACCAACAAAAGUUUAACAACACAUAUGAUCGUGCCUUAUUUUACAACAACAGGAAUUUGCACCAAACAUAUGUGCCAUAAGGACUCAUAUUGCAGCAGCAAUUAUGGAAGGAAUCCUUUUUUCUUCAAAUCCUCUACAGAAUCCUUAAUAAUCUCCUCAAUUGGAGUGAUUUGCAAACCCAAAUCCAUAAGUUUCUUUGAUCCAUCCUUCACUCUCAAUAAUCCUGGUUGGGUAUCUCGUUGCAUCCUUUCAAGCAAAAUCACAAAGCACAUCAUUUACAAGUAAGUUAUGCAUUAACAAUACAUGUAUCAAGUGUGUGGCUAACUUACUUAGGCACUUUGUACUCUGGAUAAAGUUCACCAACUUUGGCUGCAAAAUCACCAUAGUGAGAGAUAGCUUCAACACACACAUGCCUACCAGCUGCAGAUUUGUUCUCAUACACCAAAAUAUGUGCCAAUGCUACAUCCUUAAAGUGAACCGAUCCCAUAAAAAUGUCCUCAUAUGUAUCAUCACAACCUGAGACGCAACAUACAAAAUGUCACAAAUUCUCAGUAAUUCCCCUGAAAAAUCAUAAAUUGGGUAGAGUUUGAUAUUUGUAUUCGGGUCAACGACUAUAGUGUGCAAAAAUAUAAUGAGAAGAGCAUAGCAUAAUCAAAUAAGUCUAAUACUUUUCACGAAGGCAUCAAGUUCUAAAUGCCCUACGCAACUAUAUACCAUGAACUAAGUUGUAGCAGGUCUUGUGAAAUUAGUCUAAUAACUAGGUAACAGAAACAGUAGCCCUAUUCACAUGAUACCAUUUUAUUCAGUUAAAAUAUUAUACAUUAUUCAUAAUAACAAGGUCCCUAACAUGGUGUUAAAUAGUUUUUUUAUGAGAAAAAAAAAUAAUCAAAAUAUUUCAAUUCAACCGUUAUAAGUCAUAACUAACUAGAUCUCUUAUAUUCAAUAAACAAGUUUCUAAAACAAACCCAAAACAUGACAAUCUACCAACAUGGUUUUCAAUAAUGGUAUGCAACUAUGACUUUAGUAUACAAUUCUUCUCAAAGGAUAUUUUCCUUUAAAAGAAAAAUUCCUUUGUCUUUCUGAGUGUCUCUCAGACACACCUUUCCAUGCAAUCAACGUUUCUCUAGUGGCUCAGUAAUACUUCUGUAAUAAUGCAGAAUAUUUCAGCACUUCUCAAUAUUCAAGAGACUCCUACUGCAAGAUUAGAAAGCAAUAUUUGGAAAAGGCAAUUGAUUAAGCAUAAGUCUCUCUCUACCUUGAAGAAGGCGCAAGAGCAUGAGCAUGCUUGCAUUAAGCCUGGGUGCAAUAACCUCACCCAAAACAAUGCCAGGAUUCACUGUAACAACAUCCAACCCACUCUCCUUUGCAAAAUCCCAAACUGCUUUCUCCGCCAAUGUCUUCGACAAUGAAUACCACAACUGUUCCACACACAAACACUUCACACACCAACACAUAACAAAAACAAACACAAAAUUCAAAAAAUUAAAACCCUUUCUAACCGCUUUUUGCUUGCAAAGUUCAACGUCAGCCCAACACUCCUCCCUCUUUGGAACAUCACCGGGCCAAGUGGGGCUCGGAAUAAUCGCCGCCACGGAGGACGUCACCACCACGCGACGCACUCCUGCUUCUUUCGCUGCCGUUAGCACGUUCGCGGUGCCCUUUAUCGCCGGGUCCAGAAGAUCCUUCUGCAUGAACACCCAAAUGGGAUUAUGCAAAAACCCAAAAGAUUGAAAAUUUGCGAGAAGAUCGAGAGAGCAAGACCUGGGGGUCCUGGACUUGACCAACAAUGCAGGGAGAGGCAAUGUGGAAUACGCCGGCGCAGCCGCGGAUGGCUUCGAGUACGGAGUCGUAGUGGAGGAGCUCCAUCUGGAAGAGGCGGAGGCGCUCCGACGCUCCAUCCAAGGCUUGUAGAUGCUUUGUCUCGGCCUCGUCGUCUGUUAGAAAAGUUGUGUUGUGAUGUGUUAGUAUUGGGGUGAAACGAAUGAAUAAUAUUGAGAGUGUGGAAUGUACUAACUGAGAUUUUGGACGGUGGCGUGAACGGUGUAGCCGCGGUCCAGAAGGAGGUGGACGAGCCAGGAACCGAUUGCGCCGCUGCCGCCGGUGACACACACCACCUUCUCCAUUUUGCAACUUAAUUCUAACACGAAAACGAUCACGAGAGACUGGAGAAGUCCACUAUGAAUUCAAGAGAAGAAGAAAGAAAGAAAGAAGUGUAAUGAUAUGUUGAAAAUACACAUUUUUAUAGAAUUAGAUUACAACUUUUACUAUUAUUUUAACUAGGAAACCCAGAUCCCUUUAGGUGUAUGUGUAUUCACAUUUUAAUAUUUUAUUCCAUUUUUACGAUAAAAAUUUAAUAUAUAUAUAUAUAUAUAAAUAAUUUUGGAUAGUGAAAUGACAAAAAAAAUAUAUAUGUAAAAAAAUAAUAAAUUAAUUAAAUAAUUAUUUUUAUUAGUAGUUUUGAUAUUGUAAAGUGUAAUGAUAAUGGUUUUAUCAAAAAAUUUGAAAUGCAGCGAAGAAAAUUAUUGAAAAUGAAUAUUAUUUUAUUUGAUAUUUGAGAUUUUGUGUUGAGUAUAUAUAUAUAUAUAUAUUUAUUUAUUUAUUUUUAUUUUUAAAUAAAAAAUUAGAAAAAGUGGGAAAAUUGCAGAUAAAUAUUAAUAAAAUGACAUAUAUUAAUAAAUUAUAAAAUACUAUAUUAUAUUAAUAAAAUGAUAUAAUUAAAUAAGGAUAAAAUAAAUAAAAAUUGUUUAAAAAAAAUAGUUAUAAUUGAAAAUAUCUUUUAAAUAGUUACAAAUAUUUUUUUCAUAUAAUGUAAUUACAAACUUAAUUCUUAUUAUUAUAUAUAUAUAUAUAUAUAUAUAUAUAUAUUUAGUUGUCAAAGUAUAUUUAUAAAAAAAAGAAAAGGGAAGACAGGGACAGGAGAAUUAAUUAUAGGAAAGUUGGGAGCAGAAGUAGGAAUGACCUACUACGAAAACCAACUCAAUAUUUUAAAGGAUCCGGAUAUUUUGACAACGUACACACCAUAUAACUCUGAAAAAGUAUUAAUAUUUUAAUAGUCUGUGAUCUUCUCUGAUAUUGUAAUCUUUUUCUAUUCGGGUUUUUUUUUUUUAGCUUUACUAUGUAUUUGCAAAUUUUUCUUUCUGCACUCAAACAUCUUUUUUUCUUCUGUAUUGUUUUGUAAUUGACUUCGGUUUUAGGAUUUUAUUAUUAAUAAUAAUAUUAAUAUUAAUAAUAAUUAUAAUAAUAUAAUAAAAUUAUUAAUAUUAAUAUUAGUAGAAAUUAAUUAUAGGAACCAAAUGUUUAUUUUACAAAAGCAAUUCCAUCCUACAAUUUAAUAAAUAUUAGUAUUCUAAUUAUUUAUAAAAAUUUAUAAUUUUAUUAAUUUAAAAAAAAUAAGUCUUAUAUAUAUUUUUGUUGAAAAGUUUUUUUUUUAAAAAUAAAUAUUAAUAUUUAUUGUGUCAUAACUCCUAUGCAAAAGUUGGUUCCAGAAGUACGAAAACCAAUUCAAUUAAAAUAGCCAAGUCUUACAAGUUGAGUACGAAAACCAAUUCAAUUUUUUAAAGGAUCCGGAUAUUCUAGAUAUUCUGACAAAUACGCAUAAUUUUUUUUAAUAUUUUAAUAGUGUGUGAUCUUUUCUAAUAUUGGAAUCAUUUUCUAACUUUUUUGUAGUUUUUUGUUUUGGGGUUUCGUAAUAAUUCUAAUAUUAAUAUUAAUUUCGGUUUUAGUAUUUUAUUAUUAUUAAUUUUAAUAAUAAUAAUAAUAAUAAAUAAUAUUAAUAAUAAUUUAAAUAAUAAUAAUAUUAUUAUUAUUAGUAAUAAUAUUAAUAUUAGUAGUAAUUACAAUAAAAUAAUAAUAAUGUUAAUAUGAAUAAUAACUAUAAUAAUAUUUUUUUAACUUAAUGUUAUUUAUUUAUCUUUAUAUUCUCACAAUUUCAAUUUAAUCUAGUCAAAUAUAUUUUUGAAUAAAAUAAAUAUUUAUUGCAAGCAUAAUUUUGAAUUGAACCUUUUUUGACAUUAUUUUUAUAAUUUUAUUCAAACUGAUUAUUUUAUGCUUCAAUGUAUAGUGUGAUUAAGUCUAGUAUGAAAGAUUUUAUUUACUAAAGUACUGAACAAUUUGACUUAAGUAUGGUUGAGGUUAAUUUGUUGGUCAUCCAGAAAAAUAGUUUAGGAAGUGAAGACAUAGUCUAAGUUUUUGCAGAGUGGUUAGGGAUAUGAUGAAUAAGGUGAACUGACAUCAAAAAUAAAAUCUAUUACUUUAAACAUUUUGAACAAUGUAACAUUGGUAACAGGAACCUACUAACUAAUAGAAUUGUCCAACUUGAAUUAUAAAUUAUAAAUAUUCUACACAACUUCAAGUUCGACUGGUCCACUAUGAUAAUUGUAUACGGAUAACAGUCACAUUAGAGAAAUUCCGCUUGGUGCCCUCCACUGGGGUUAGGGAUGAUAAUGCGAAGCGGGUCAAGCUGCAACCUGCUACCAAAAGGCACAGGAUGGGCUCACUAAUCUAGCCCGCGGACCCGUUUAGGCUCGUCCGACAUAACCCGCAGCACGCGCGGGCCAACAGCAUAGCGGGACGAGUUGGCCCGCUAACCCGUAUAAAUACAAAAGUAAUUAUUUUAUUUUUUUGUAAAAAAAAUCAUACUUCAUUCAUCCAUUAUUGCAGUGUGACAUUUAUUUUAUUUUAUUAAUUUUUUUGAAUAUAAUGUACUAAAAAAAAGAAUGUUUUAUUUUAAUCAUUUAAAUGAGUUAGUUUUUUUAUUAGCAAUUAAAAGUAAAUAAAUAAGAACCAAUUUAGGGGUGAUCCAACUCAUGUACAAAAUCGCACAUAAACGAACAAGUCAUCCUCCCAUAAGUUUGUCACUAACUUCCUACUAUAACAAAUACAAUCUGACCAACAUAAAUAAAUCACAUGUUUUAUCGAAGACAUACAAACUAGGAGAUCCAAACACUAAUUAGAAAAACAAGAAACAAGCAUAAGGGACUUGAGGUUGCCCACACGACCAGGCCUUUAGUUGAGUGAUAGAGUUAAUAUGAAGAGUGACACUGAAUUUAGUUUUAAGUAAAGUCUUAUAUUUAAAAUUUGUUAAUAAAAAAAUAAUAUAAAUAAGAGAUUUCAAUAGGAUGGUUAAAAUAUUAGUCAUCUUCAUUAAAAUAUUUUGUAGCAAAACUUUGAUAAAAUAUUCUUAUACAUUUACACACGUAUAUAGGAAAAAUAGAUGCAAAGCAAAACUUUAAUUAUUUUUAAUCAAGCCUUCUAACAAUCCUCAUACUUUAAUUUAUAUUUUUACCUUAAUUGAAUGAUUUGAAACAAGGAUAAAAUUUUAAUUUUUUAGUAGUAGGAAUAAUUUUUUUAAAAAUUAAUGAAAUUUUAAUUUUUGAGAAAAAAAUAUUUUUCUUAUACAAGUUGGCCCACACGCUCGCGGGUUACAUCUGAUGCGGGGCGGGUCAACGGAAUGAGUUUGCACUCCUUUUGUGGGGUGGGCCAACUUGACCCACAUUUUAUGGACCAAACUUGGGACGAGCCAACCUGCAUUGCCACCCCUAACGGGGGUCACUUCACACAUACCUCAUGCACCAUCCUAGCGAACAACCAAAGUAAACUCAAAAUGUUAGAAAUUUGUGAAAUUCAUAAUCCAUAUCAUCAUUUUGUUCUUUUUAAUACUUCUUUUAUUUUUGUAAAUUAUAUGAUUCUUUUGAUGAUUGUAUAUUAUUACGUGUAUGUACUCUAUUAGUUAGGUUACGAGGUCAAACUUUGUGGAUUUCUUAAAAAAAAUUCUAAAGAAUGCUUAUAAACAUUUUAACAAGAAAAGAAACAAGGAUGUAAAUGAUCAAUAAGAAAUAUUAUUAAAUUUUACUAAGAAAAUAAGGAUGUAAGUUAAUCACCGCAUCUAAAAUAUUAUUAGUUUUAUCCUUAAAAAACAUCUGGAUUGGAGGAGAAGAUAAUAUAUAAACUGUUAUUCGAUUCUGAAACCAUGUGGGAUUAUAUUGGUUAGUGGAAUACUUGUAAGAAAUGAUGUAAAUUAAUUUCUAUAAAGUGACUCACAUGACUUAGAGUUUGGGCUUUGGAUCCGAAUAUGAUUUAAUAAUAAUAAUAGAAUUAAAGGCUCAUUGGUUAAUGUGAGAAAUAUAUAUAUAUGAUGAUGAUGAUAUACCUAAUGGAAAACCCACAUCUGAUGGAGAUUGGGAACUAAAGGCUAUAGGGUUGAAGAAGGAGAUAAAGUAAUUGCUCAAUUAGGAUUACUCAUGGAUCAAGGUAAGUGCCUAUUUCUUCUUACGUUGCUCAUUUUUUGUAAUUCUCCAUUAAUGUUUUUUCAAAAUAUUGAAGAACCCUAAUUUUAAAAUAUUCCCAAUUUCAAGAACCCUAAUUUAAAAAAAAAAUAAGAUUUAUAGAUUAAGAUUUUCAUUCCUCUAUAAUAGAUCCCUAAUUGUCCUAAACCAUCAAAAUCAAAGAAACAUAAUUUUAAAAUAAUCCCAAUUGAAAAACCCUAAUUUUAAAAUUAGAGUUUAUGUAUUAAGGUUUACAUCAACUACCGUUUGGUGUCUGGAUAAGGGAUGAAACUACACGUGUGAAUUCGUUCCUGCACCUAUUGAAUUCACAAUAAUAGUUGACUCGUAUGGAAUGGCCCAUUAUUCUUCCCUGCACCUUACGUCCCUUUUGGAUGCACCUAUUAUUGUGAAUAGUAUCAACUAAUUUGGUUGCAUUUGUGUUACGGGAAAAUAAAAUAGUAUCAUGUAUGAUUUUUUUAUUUUAUUUAUUUUAUUUUAUUAUAUUUGUAAUGUAAUUUUUAAGAAAUUUUGUUAUGUUAUAAUGUAAUUUUAUUUGAAUUAAAUUAAUGCUUAAUUAAAGUUUUAAUGAAAUUUUAUUAUGUGUAAUUUUAUUUGCAUUAAAUUAAAGUUUUAAUGAAAUUUUAUUAUGUCAUAAUGUAAUUUAAUUUGUAUUAAAUUAAAGUUUAAUUAAUUGAUUGAAAGUGAGGAAUGGAAAAUUAUAUUUCCGCUUUAUGUAUUUAAUUUUAAAUUGAAAUUUUGGAAUUACUUGUAUGAUGGAUUUGUAAUCACCAAAGUGAUCAAAUCUUUAAGUUUUAUUUAAUUCCAAAUUAAGGAUGAAAUUUUAUUUCAUAUAAUGAUAUUAUUUAUGGAAUUAUUUGUAUGAUAGAUUUGUAAUCACCAAAGUCAUAAAAUCUUUAAGUUUUAUUUAAUUCCAAAUUAUGGAUGAAUUUUAUUUCAAUUAAUGAUAUAAUUUCUGGAAUUAUUUGUAUGAUAGAUUUGUUAAUCACCAAAGUGAUCAAAUCUUUAAGUUUUAUUUAAUUCCAGAUUACUGAUAAAUUUUAUUCCAAUUACCUAUAGAAUGGAUGCUAAAUUAUUUAUAUAUAUGGGUAAAUGGAAAUUCAUUAUUAUAGGGCAUUUUGGAUCACCCAAAGGUUGAUUAGUUGUCCUUAUAAUUAAUAGAUAUGAUUGUUGGUAGUGAGUAUGUGUUAUUAGUUUUGCUUGUAUAUCCAAAGAUAACAAGUGUUUCUAGUUAAUGCAUAUAUCUUACCAAAUAAAGUUAAUACUAUUAGCAUCAUUAUGUUUUGUGUAUUAAUGAAUCUCCCAAAGGAGAACAUUAGUAUAUAUAGAAUGUUUUCUGAAUCUGUAUUGUAUGUUUAGUUUAUGACUCAAAGUAUUAAUGUUAAGCAUGUGUGAUCAAGUAUCUGUUCCUGUAUCUUUAUGCGAAUGAGCAUAACAAGUAAUAUUAAGUCGGCUCUUCCCAAAACUGAUAGUGCAAAAGAAUUUAUGAAAUUUGUGGAAGAGCGCUCCCAAACUACUGAUAAGUCUCUUGUUGGGACAUUAAUGAGUACGUGGAGCAUACUCCAACUUUCAUGUAUGGCUCUGAAUAGUUUGAACACCNNNNNNNNNNNNNNNNNNNNNNNNNNNNNNNNNNNNNNNNNNNNNNNNNNNNNNNNNNNNNNNNNNNNNNNNNNNNNNNNNNNNNNNNNNNNNNNNNNNNACUAAGCUCCAGAAGAAGAAUGGCAAAUGUCAUUUAUGCAAGAAAUCUAGACAUUUCCAAAAGGAUUGUCUGAAAAUUAAGGCUUGGUUCGAAAAGAAGGGUAAGCAUAAUGCUUAUUAUGUAUGUUUUGAAUCAAACUUAACUGAAGUUUGACAUAAUUCUUGGUGGAUUGAUUCUGGAUGCACAACUCAUGUUUCUAACAUGAUGCAAGGAUUCCUUUUAACCCGAACCAUAAAGCCAAAUGAAAAGUUUGUCUUCAUAGGGAAUAGAGAAAAGGUUCCAAUGAAAGCAGUUGGGACUUAUCGUUUAAUCNNNNNNNNNNNNNNNNNNNNNNNNNNNNNNNNNNNNNNNNNNNNNNNNNNNNNNNNNNNNNNNNNNNNNNNNNNNNNNNNNNNNNNNNNNNNNNNNNNNNAUGCUUUUUAUGUACCUAGUAUAUCUAGGAAUUUAGUUUCAUUGUCUAAACUUGAUGUUGCCGGAUACUCUUUUAAAUUUGGGAAUGGAUGUUUCAGUUUAUAUUAGCGUACCUAUUUGAUUGGAUUUGGUACUCUUUAUGAUGGAUUAUAUAGAUUGAACCUUGAUAAUCUAUAUGCUGAAACUCUUAUGACCUCGCAUCAUAAUGUUGGCACUAAACGUAGUUUAGUGAAUGAAUGUUCUGCUUUCUUAUGGCACAAACGUUUGGGACAUAUUUCCAAAGAAAGGAUGGAGAGAUUGGUAAAGAAUGAAAUACUUCCAAGUUUUGAUUUUACUGAUUUGAAUGUAUGUGUGGAUUGUAUUAAAGGAAAACAAACAAAACACACAAAGAAGGGAGCCACAAGAAGUACUCAGCUUCUUGAAAUUAUACACACUGAUAUAUGUGGACCUUUUGAUGCAAGUUCUUUAAAUAAAGAAAGGUAUUUUAUCACCUUUAUUGAUGAUUUUUUACAUUAUGGUUAUGUCUAUUUACUGCAUGAAAAAUCGCAAGCGAUGAAUGCCUUGGAAGUUUAUAUAAAUGAGGUGAAAAGGCAAUUAGACAAAAAGGUGAAAAUUGUCAGGUCAGAUAGAGGUGGUGAAUAUUAUGGAAAGUAUGAUGAAAGUGGACAACACCCUGGUCCGUUUGCUAAGUUCCUUGAGAGACGUGGUAUUUGUGCUCAAUACACAAUGUCAGGUACACCACAACAAANNNNNNNNNNNNNNNNNNNNNNNNNNNNNNNNNNNNNNNNNNNNNNNNNNNNNNNNNNNNNNNNNNNNNNNNNNNNNNNNNNNNNNNNNNNNNNNNNNNNNNNNNNNNNNNNNNNNNNNNNNNNNNNNNNNNNNNNNNNNNNNNNNNNNNNNNNNNNNNNNNNNNNNNNNNNNNNNNNNNNNNNNNNNNNNNNNNNNNNNNNNNNNNNNNNNNNNNNNNNNNNNNNNNNNNNNNNNNNNNNNNNNNNNNNNNNNNNNNNNNNNNNNNNNNNNNNNNNNNNNNNNNNNNNNNNNNNNNNNNNNNNNNNNNNNNNNNNNNNNNNNNNNNNNNNNNNNNNNNNNNNNNNNNNNNNNNNNNNNNNNNNNNNNNNNNNNNNNNNNNNNNNNNNNNNNNNNNNNNNNNNNNNNNNNNNNNNNNNNNNNNNNNNNNNNNNNNNNNNNNNNNNNNNNNNNNNNNNNNNNNNNNNNNNNNNNNNNNNNNNNNNNNNNNNNNNNNNNNNNNNNNNNNNNNNNNNNNNNNNNNNNNNNNNNNNNNNNNNNNNNNNNNNNNNNNNNNNNNNNNNNNNNNNNNNNNNNNNNNNNNNNNNNNNNNNNNNNNNNNNNNNNNNNNNNNNNNNNNNNNNNNNNNNNNNNNNNNNNNNNNNNNNNNNNNNNNNNNNNNNNNNNNNNNNNNNNNNNNNNNNNNNNNNNNNNNNNNNNNNNNNNNNNNNNNNNNNNNNNNNNNNNNNNNNNNNNNNNNNNNNNNNNNNNNNNNNNNNNNNNNNNNNNNNNNNNNNNNNNAAGAGAGUCGGGUGUAAAUGGGUCUUUAAGACUAAAUGUGACUCUCAUGGAAACUAAUGAUCUUGGUCUAUUAAGUGAGACUAAGAAGUUUCUCUCUAAUAACUUUGAGAUUAUGGGUGAGGCAUAAUAUGUGAUAGGAAUAGAAAUAUUUUGUGAUAGAUCACAAGGACUGUUAGGUUUGUCUCAGAAAGCAUAUAUUAAUAAAGUUUUAGAGAGAUUCAGAAUGGAUAUUCAAAAUCUCCUGUUCCAAUACAGAAAGGAGACAAAUUUAGUCUCAUGCAAUGUCCAAAGAAUGAUUUGGAACGGAAACAAAUGGAGAAAAUACCUUAUGCAUCUAUUGUUGGGAGUUUAAUGUAUGCUCAAACUUGUACACGACCAGAUAUUAGUUUUGCAGCUGGUAUGCUUGGUAGAUACCAGAGUAAUCCAGGAUUGGAUCAUUGGAAAGCUGCAAAGAAAGUUUUAAGAUACUUGCAAGGAACAAAGAAUCACAUGCUUACUUAUAAAAGAUCAAAUUAUCUUGACGUGAUUGGAUAUACAGAUUCAGAUUUUGCUGGCUGUGUGGAUACACGAAAGUUUACAUUUGGUUAUGUGUAUCUUUUAACCAGAGGAGCGAUUUCAUGGAAAAGUGCGAAGCAGUCAGUCAUUGUUGCGUCCACUAUGGAAGCUGAAUUUGUGGCAUACUUUGUUGCGUUCAGGACUUGGAAUUGUUGACAGUAUUGUCAAGCCGCUGAAAAUUUAUUGUGAUAAUUCCGCAGCAGUCUUCUUUUCUAAAAACGACAAGUAUUCUAAAGGUGCUAAACAUAUGGAAUUGAAAUACUUUUCCGUUAAAGAAGAAGUUCAGAAACAUAAAAUGUCAAUAGAACAUAUUAGCACUGAUCUUAUGAUUGCUGACCCUUUAACAAAAGGGUUACCGCCCACUGGUCAUGUUGUAAAUAUGAGCAUUAUGUUACUAGUGAAUUAUGAAUGUUGUUAUUAAUGCUUAUUUGACACUUUGAGCUCAUUGAUAAAUAAAGUUUCUGAAAUUUAUGUUGUUUUCUACUUUAUGUAUAUGCAUGCAAAUUAUGUUAUGAUGGUGUGGAAAACAAAUUAUGUUGUUAUUGAUGACAAUGACAUUAUGUUUGAACCUAUUAUGAAUUUCUCACUAUAAAGUACAUGGAAGGAGAUGUGUUGAUUGAAAUGACAUGUAACCGCAUGACUCUUAUUAUUUUUGUAUCCUUGAUCUUGAUUAAUGUUAGAACCAAUUUAUGUAAGGCCUUUUAAAUGCGCAUUUAUGUCAUUAUUAAAUCAUGAAAGUAUUAUAACUCAUAUGAAGUGGGAGAAUGUAAGAAAUUAUGUAAAUUAAUUUCUAUAAAGUGACUCACAUCACUUAGAGUUUGGGCUUUGGGCCCGAAUAUGAUUUAAUAAUAAUAAUAGAAUUAAAGGCCCAUUGGUUAAUGUGAGAAAUAUAUAUAUGAUGAUAUACCUAAUGGAAAACCCACAUCUGAUGGAGAUUGGGAACUAAAGGCUAUAGGGUUCUGUCUCUGCAAAUAAUAGUUGUCUCACUGUUAACCAUCACGAAAGUGUGUGACAAUACGGAAUUGCUAAGAGAUAGAUUGGGAAGAAGGAGAUAAAGUAAUUGCUCAAUUAGGAUCACUCAUGGAUCAAGGAAAGUGUCUAUUCCUUAUUGAUUGUAUGAUUGUGUGAGAAUCAUAAUAUGAUAAGAUCUGAUAACAUUAUUGUAUGUGUUCAAUUUACAUUUAUUCAUGUUUAAUCUUACAUAUAUAAGUUACACAUCUUUCACAGCUACAUUCAUUCUUCAAUUUUAUUUCCUCAAAGCAUUACCUAUGUUAUAAAACGUGUUGAUGUGUUUAUAUUAGUAAGUAUUUUAUAGCAAUGUUAAAAUUAAUAUAUCAUUAAUAAUAUAUAAUACGUAAAAUAUCAUGGUGUCUAUUAAAAUUUAUCUUUUUCAAUCGUCCGUUGAUUUGUGAAACUUUAUAUAUCUAUUUUUUUUUCUUCCUGAUAAAAGAAAAUACACUUAAUCAUCUAUGAUUGGAUUAAUAUACAACAUCUUUUCUUCUGUCAUAGCAUCUUUAUUCAAAUAAUCAAACACAUUUACACCAAGAUUCAUUCAAGCUUCACUCAAGUUUGAAACUAACCCCAACCUAACUGCUUUGACUAGACUAACAUAUCCAAUAAAAACAUAAAAAAGAAACAAGACAAACUAGAAAGAAGCAUGGGAAAAGAGAUUGAAACUGGAUUAAUGAAAAUAUGUAUCUAAGUUUAUGGAUAUAAUGUUUUUUGCUUAGAUGAUAGUUAGAACUAUCAUGCAGCUACACCUCCAUUUAGAAGCAUCUGAUCAAAGUGCCACACACCUACAAGUCCAACAACAUUACUUCAAUUUCACCAAAUAUAUGUGAAUAGUGAAUCAACCAAUUUGAUUUAUUAGGUACAAGCAACAAACCAUGUCCUUUGCCCACCCUUCUUAACUGAGCCACAUAUUCUGAGAUCUUCUUAAUAUCUUCCACCUUUAAGCAAAAGAAUAAACUAAUGAGAACAUUUCUUUUCAUGCUACUCAAAACAGAUGCAAAAUUUUGUAAACUAGAAUUGGAAUUUCAGCUAGCUAAUGUAUGCAAUAAAUAAUUUUAUACUCAGGUUCAAACAGUAUACAAAUGGAGUAACAUUUGACUGCAUUUAGGCCAAGAGAUUCUUUACCUGAUCGAAUAAAAACUGGCUUUCCAGAAAGUCAACAAAUUGAGCAUCGUUGUUUUCAUUUGCUAACUGCAUAAUAGUAAUAAAAACUAGUUAUUGGCAUAAAAACAUUGUCAUGCAGAAUAACUAUAGCAAAAGGAAAAAACAUAUGGAAAAUUCCACUGGAAGAUAGCGAGACUAAAAAGUGUUUGAGUUGAAUUGACAGAAAAAAAUAAGAAAAUAUAGCUAUAAGUUGUACGCUGUGUAAAUUUAGAAGCUUCUCAUUGUUCAGCCUUUCCAAAGACAAUGCAAGUUCCAUUGCUGCAAAAUGGGAGGAAACAGGAAUCGUAAGUAUAAUUGAAGAAACUGAGAAAGCAUUCAAGAAAACAGUUUUGAGUGAAAUAUUAAUUACACAUAUAUAUGUGUGGGUGUGGGUGUGUGAGAGAGAAAAAGUUACCAUAUAAUGCAUCACCCUUUUCUGCAUGAUCAAACUCUGAAAAUGGCAUCAGCAUUGACUGCAGCUGAACCUUGCCUCCUCUUUUAUUCUGGUAAUUAAUAUCGUCAGGAAUAAAAAUAAUUUACAAAAAGGAAUGCCAGAAAAACUACUGUCAUGAAGUGUAUGAAUCACUGAUAUAGAAAAAUGCCUGAUAUUCCAUCAUCAUCUCAGCAUGAUGUCUUUCCUCCAUACUUGCGUCCUUGAAAAAUCUGGAAAAUUUUGUGUAAUAAUUACCAACAAUUAUGUCAUAAUAAAAUUCAAAUUACAAAAGAACUUGAUAUUUUCAAGGGUAAUACUUGGCUAAUCCUUUCAGAGCAACAUUAUCUCUGUCGAAAUAGGCGUACAUGGCAUGAUACACGUAGGAGACAUUGUAUUCCACGCUGAAUCAAAACAAAAUCAAAAUUAGCAUAAGAUAUUUGCAUGAAUGUGCCAACGAGAGCAAAACAAUUCUUAAAAAAAAAUUAAACUUCGUAAUUUCUCAAGCACCCCUUUAAAUUUAUGGAAAAAACUUAGAUACAUACUGUUAGUAUAUUAGAUACACAGAUAAGCUCCAAUUCCAAUUAAAAAACCAGUUAGCUAUAUUCGAGUUUUGACCCUAAAAACUGUGAUAAAUUAUAAACCAGUUUAGAUAAGAUUUGCCUCUACUAUGAAAUGCUCUAAUCUUUAAUUAAUCUGAGAUUUUCACAUAAAACAAAACAAAAAUAAGCUCACUUGAUCUGUGUAUUGAGUGCAGCCUCAGACUGAUGAGUGUACUUCUGGCGAGCCAGUGAUGCAUGGAGCUCUGUGGGGAUGACAAGAAGCUCUUUUUUCACUUCCUCAAAAGGUUCAAACGCUAUAUUCGAAAUGGGUUGGUUCAUAGUGUCCUUGGAGGCCUUAGCCACAACCCCACAACCCCCAUUUCUCUUGCAGAAUCUCACACCAUUCACAGGGUUGAAAAAGGGUCCAGAGGAAGACAGAGAAGGGACAAGCUUCACUCUUUCAGAGAGCGAGACACGGACGAAUGAAGAAGUUCCCGAGAGCAUGGUCAAAAGACUCAGAACCACUCUGAAAUCAAGAGAAGAAGAAU
rnacentral:lncRNA from 1 species